rnacentral:rRNA from 1 species
UACGGAGGGGCUAGCGUUGUUCGGAAUUACUGGGCGUAAAGCGCACGUAGGCGGCUUUGUAAGUUAGAGGUGAAAGCCCAGGGCUUAACCCUGGAAUUGCCUUUAAGACUGCAUCGCUAGAAUUCGUGGAGAGGUGAGUGGAAUUCCGAGUGUAGAGGUGAAAUUCGUAGAUAUUCGGAAGAACACCAGUGGCGAAGGCGACUACUGGA